rnacentral:lncRNA from 1 species
CCCAGACCCAGGCUGUGGAGGGUCUGUGUCCUUUUUGGGGGGAUUUUGGGGUCGGGGGGUGUUUCGGGGUCCCCUCACCACGAUUUUUGUGUCGCCCCCAGACCCAAACCGUGGGGGCCGUGUUCGCCCGGCAGCUGCUGCAGCUCGGGGGGCUCAGUGGGGGCAGGGCCGGGGUCGUCCUGAGCCGCUUCCCCACCCCCGCCAGCCUCAUGGCCGCCCUGGGCCCCCCCCAGGACCCCCAAAAGUGUCGGGAGGUGCUGAGUGGGCUGCGCUGCGGCCCCACCCAGAGGAAUUUGGGUCCCUCCCUCAGCGGAGCCCUCCUGAAGCUCUACGGGACCCCGGGGCCACUGUCCUGAGGGGACAGCCCAUUGUCACCUCCUGUCACCCCAUUGUCACCUCCUGUCACCCAUUGUCACCCCAUUGUCACCCCCCAAUAAAGCCUCUCCCCCACCA